ensembl:lncRNA
UGUAGGUGUGGCUUGACUCAUGCUGCCUGUUGAAGAAGCUGCAGCACAGUCUUUGCCUUUCACUUCUUACUCCACUUCAGUUGGAUACAACACUGUUUGGACUGAACAUCGACAGAAGUGAUUACAACCCAAGCAUGGCUGGCAAGUUCGCUAAAUCAGCAACUUAUGUGAACUUGACAAUGUGGGUAAGUUGAGCACAGCAGGAUUCAAAACUGCCUCACGUGACUGCUACCGAGGUGCAUCAUGGGGAAUUGGCGGUUAACGACAUGCUCACUUUACUUGGACGUUUUCUAAUCGUCUUCUUUGGAAUAUACUUUCAAGGUCUGUUAAGCCAAACUUGAUGCUGGGGAUUUAUUUUUGUCAGUGGAGUCAAAUGGUCUAGAUGAUCACAUCUGUCUUUGUCAUUUAAAUGAGGUGGACUUGCAAACUUUGCACUCUUUUGGGUUGAAGCAGAAUUUGCCCGUCUUACAUCUGUUGACCUGAAAGGGUUCCUUUUGCUGUGCUUGACCAUUAUGGAGAGGUUCGUGGAGCUGUACAAACUCAAGAGCGGCAUAGGAGGGCUAACUAGGCUCAUAAGAUGCUUCGGUGAUGAUAGCCCUACACAAAGGAAGAGGACAGAGGACCUCAUUUUCUAAAGGAAGAUCCUCACACACUUUCAAGACUGUGAAGCCGACAGGUAUUGAAGACACGUUUUCUAAGAGGAUGAAAGUUGGCAUUGCGAUGGUGAAAGAAGAAGAUAUCAUCGAUGUGUUGGUUGUCCUUGAGGCGGCAGUAAUCCUGUCUAAUCUGAGGGAUGUCUCAAGUGCCAUUUCCAUGCUGAUGGGUCUUCUUUUUGCCCUCAACAUAGACUAUCCAAAGGAACUUAAGGACAUCUUUGAAGUCAUUCAGAACAUCCUAAUGAACAUUGGUGGAAGGCAGUGCAUCUCUCUAGUGCAUGGUCUAAGAAACAGACUCUUGCAGAAAGCCAUGCAGAACUGUAAUUGUAUGUUCCUUAGUGUUAAGGACAGUUUUUAUUUUACUGUUUGUUUUUUUAUUCUUGCAAGUUCUCAUUCUCACUUUUGUAUGUCACUAAAUGACUACACUUUACAUUCCAGAUUAGACAAUUACUCAUUUGUUCAUGGUUUAAGAAACUUAUGUGAACAACAAUAUAAUGGUGGACUCUGCAGAUGCUUAUCUCAUGCAAGUCAGUAGUUUUUCCUUUGUUUUGCAAUUGAGCAGACUCAAAC